rnacentral:rRNA from 1 species
AUUGAACGCUGGCGGCAGGCUUAACACAUGCAAGUCGAGCGGGGUGAUGGUGCUUGCACUAUCACUUAGCGGCGGACGGGUGAGUAAUGCUUAGGAAUCUGCCUAUUAGUGGGGGACAACAUCUCGAAAGGGAUGCUAAUACCGCAUACGUCCUACGGGAGAAAGCAGGGGAUCACUUGUGACCUUGCGCUAAUAGAUGAGCCUAAGUCGGAUUAGCUAGUUGGUGGGGUAAGGCCUACCAAGGCGACGAUCUGUAGCGGGUCUGAGAGGAUGAUCCGCCACACUGGGACUGAGACACGGCCCAGACUCCUACGGGAGGCAGCAGUGGGGAAUAUUGGACAAUGGGGGGAAACCUGAUCCAGCCAUGCCGCGUGUGUGAAGAAGGCCUUAUGGUUGUAAAGCACUUUAAGCGAGGAGGAGGCUCUUUUGGUUAAUACCCAAGAUGAGUGGACGUUACUCGCAGAAUAAGGACCGGCUAACUACGUGCCAGCCGCCGCGGUAA